rnacentral:rRNA from 1 species
UACGUAGGGUGCAAGCGUUAAUCGGAAUUACUGGGCGUAAAGCGUGCGCAGGCGGUUGUGCAAGACAGAUGUGAAAUCCCCGGGCUUAACCUGGGAACUGCAUUUGUGACUGCACAGCUAGAGUGCGGCAGAGGGGGAUGGAAUUCCGCGUGUAGCAGUGAAAUGCGUAGAUAUGCGGAGGAACACCGAUGGCGAAGGCAAUCCCCUGGGCCUGCACUGACGCUCAUGCACGAAAGCGUGGGGAGCAAACGGG